UACGGGGGGGGGCAAGUGUUGUUCGGAAUUACUGGGCGUAAAGGGCUCGUAGGCGGCCAACUAAGUCGGAUGUGAAAUCCCCAGGCUUAACCUGGGAACUGCAUCCGAUACUGGAUGGCUUGAAUCCGGGAGAGGGAUGCAGAAUUCCAGGUGUAGCGGUGAAAUGCGUAGAUAUCUGGAGGAAUACCGGUGGCGAAGGCGGCAUCCUGGACCGGCAUUGACGCUGAUGAGCGAAAGCUAGGGGAGCAAACGGG
rnacentral:rRNA from 1 species